UCUCCGUAGGUGAACCUGCGGAGGGAUCAUUACAGAGUUUUUGCCCGCAAGGGUAGAUCUCCCACCCUAUGUUAUUCCUUCUCUGUUGCUUUGGCGGGCCGUCCGGCCUCGGUCAGGCCACCGGCUCCGGCUGGUGCGCGCCCUCCAGAGGACCCCAAACCCUAAAUGUCAGUGUCGUCUAAGUACUAUAUAAUAGUUAAAACUUUCAACAACGGAUCUCUUGGUUCUG
rnacentral:misc_RNA from 1 species